GGUACAGAGGAAGGGUCACACUACCACCAGGGUCAUGAAACUACCCCUGGAAAUGCACUCAACUCCCACGAAAGCCUUGUCAAAUGUGUGUUUCUUUAGGUUCACGGUACAGAGGAAGGGUCACACUACCACCAGGGUCAUAAAACUACCCCUGGAAAUGCCCACAACUCCCACGAAAGCCUUGUCAAAUGUGUGUUUCUUGAGGUUCACGGUACAGAGGAAGGGUCACACUACCACCAGGGUCACAAAACUACCCCUGGAAAUGCCCACAACCCCUACGAAAGCCUUGUCAAAUGUGUGUUUCUUGAGGUUCAUGGUACAGAGGAAGGGUCACACUACCACCAGGGUCACAAAACUACCCCUGGAAAUGCCCACAACUCCUACGAAAGCCUUGUCAAAUGUGUGUUUCUUUAGGUUCACGGUACAGAGGAAGGGUCACACUACCACCAGGGUCACAAAACUACCCCUGGAAAUGCCCACAACUAAUUCUACGAAAGCCUUGUCAAAUGU